UACAGAGGGUGCAAGCGUUGUUCGGAAUUAUUGGGCGUAAAGAGCGUGUAGGCGGCCAUUCAGGUCAGCUGUGAAACUCGAGGCUCAACCUCGAGACGUCGGUUGAAACCGUUUGGCUAGAGUCCGGAAGAGGAGAGUGGAAUUCCCGGUGUAGCGGUGAAAUGCGCAGAUAUCGGGAAGAACACCCGUGGCGAAGGCGGUUCUCUGGGCCUUACCUGGACGCUGAGGAGCGAAAGCAUGGGGAGCGAACAGG
rnacentral:rRNA from 1 species